CAGUGAUGAAGGAGAAAGAGCACAGGCAUGUAAAUGAACAUAAUUUCAUACCCCAGCUGUAAUAAUGAUGUGUGAUUUCAGAGCUGCACUUUCUUGUUUCUAUGAAGUUGAAGAUGGCUGUUUAACUUGUUCCGCAAAUAGGAGGCUGCUGAUCACUGCACGGGCAAGCCCAGCCAACUUCUCUCCAUUGACACUCUCUGGUGCCAAGCAGUGUUUCUUAAGGAUGCCAGAUCAGCCUGAGUCUCUGAAUGAGAGUGAAAUAAAGUGAAUGUCCUGUAAUCAACUAACCACCCCCACCCCUGGCCAUAUACAUUGAACUGAAAUGGAUACAAAUUGUGAGAAAAAAAUAAACCUGUGUAGGAUGAAGUAAUUGAUUUUGUUUGAAUGUUAUCCUUGCAAUUUAAUCUGAGUUAUCUCAAACUAUACUGUGCCAAAUACUAAAGUAGAAAUAGUCACUUUUUCUUUGUAACAUUCUGUUUUUUUAUCAUAACCAAAUAUUAUUUUGAGGAGUAAAUGAGGUUAAUAGUCCCCAGGAAUUUUGAGUGACUGUUAGUUUUCACUCAUUCUGCUUCCAUCUAAUCAUGAGUAAACAUUAUUUUUACCAAGGGAAAAAUAAUUGGAUCUGCCCAGAAUCAAAAAUAUUAGUUUAAAACACCUUUGGGAAUGAAUUAAGUAAGUUUAUGGGUAUAUUUUGCUUAUAUAUUUUAUUGAAAUUAUCCUCAAGCUUCCCCAUGAAUCUAGGUAGCAACUGUGCAUAUACAAAAUGAAAUGGUUUACAAUGUCACUGUGUUCUAUUCAUUGUUCCCUAAACCUGCUUCCGGGAAUUAAUGUCCUGAAUGUUCAAAAUAUUUGCUUUUACUAUUGAUGUUAGUGGGAAAAUAAACAAUAGAAAUGUUAAUAAAAUUUAAAAAAAUGAGAAAGCCUGAAUGUGACACAAUUUGAAAAACUAAAUGCUACUUAGAAAAACUGUCUCUUAUUUUAUAAAAUAUUUUUAUUAUUAUUUUUAGAUUUCACAUGUGAGUGCAACCUUUCAGUGCUUGUCCUUCUGUGCCUGGCUCAUUUAACUCAACAUAAUGCCCACCUAGUUCAUCCAUAUCCAUGCAAAUGGUAGAAGUAAAGAGUGGAAUAGUGGUUAUCAGAGUCUGGGGAGGGAUGGGGGAGGGAAGACUGGGAGAGGAUGAGCAAUGGAUGCAAAGUUACAAUUAAACAGGAAGAAUAAUCUUUGAUGUUCUAUUACUCAGUAGGGUAAGUACAGCAAAUAGCAAUGCAGUGUAUAUUACAAGAUGGUUAGAAAUAAAUACUUUGGAUGCUGGCAUCACAAAGAAAUGAUAAGUGUUUAAAGUGAUGGGUAUCAUAAUUACCCUGAUUUGAUCAUUACCCUAUGGAUACAUGUAUCAAAACAUCAUAUUUCAGAAAUAAGUACAAGUAUUAUGUGCCAAUUACAAAUUAAAUAAUUUAAAAAUUGAGAAACUUUCAAACUAAAAAGAGGUGUAAGAAUAAUGGGAUGAACGUACAUUGAAAAUAAAUAAUCAACUACUAAUGGAUAGAAACAAAAGAAUGAUGUAGUAAUCAAUAACUUUUCUGAUUAUACAUAAUAUGGAAGGUUACAAUAGAUGGUUGUGCUCUUCCUCCAAAAAGCAUCACCACCAUUUUGAGCUGGCAAACCAAAUGGCAUCGUGUGUUCCCUAGAGGUAAAGGCCCAACAAAGAAGGCCAUGUCUAACCAACAUUUCUUGAAUGAAAAAAAAGUCAUGUUCCCCAAAUGUACAUCUAUUUCUAAAACAAACUUCAAUUUCUAUGAUGGUUAUUUAAAACAUUCACACCAUUCAAAGAUCAAUUUCAAGAGUUUCACGGAAAAGUGAUACACCAUCGGAAAGAAAAGAAAUGUCUUCCUUUUUCAUCUUUGUGUUUCCAUUAGCAUUAACCAUAGUUUGAUGGUUAAUGGUCAUUUUGUCACAACACAUUUCAUUCCAUUCAAUCAAAGGAAGCCUAAUUAUCUUGUUUUCUGAUUCAUCAGUCUAACACACACACACACGCACAAGUGUAUUUGGAAGAAUAUAUAGACAAAUAGAGUUCCUAAGUCACUCUCAUUCUGACAUAGUCAUAUAUACAUACAUAUAUGCAUAUAUACACAUAUUGAUAAAUGAAGAGUUAGCUGUCACCCUAUUAUUUAUGCAUUUAUUUUCACCCACAAAUUUACAUAGAAGCAGAGGGGUCUUAUGAGAGCAAUAUUCAUAUGACCCCUUCCUUUCAAAACCACAAUUAUCUUAUGGUUUGAUGUAGUCUUACCCAAGGAUAGAUUACCAAAUUUGAGGACAAAGAUACAGACCUUAAAAUGAGCACUGGAGGAUAUGGAAUCCCUUGUCUCUGCCCUGUGGUCAACAACAUAUAAGCUCAUUGGUUCUAGCUCUGUAAAGUAGUUGUGGAUCAAAUGUGUUUUACAUCUGGCACCCUGAAGGAAGAUUGUUUUUCCUUAAAAAGUUUGGCUAUAGGAGAUAUAUCUGAACUGCAAUGCUUGGAGUCCAGGUUAAUAUAAUGCAAUGUAUCCUUAGUCCAGUCUAAUUAUAAUGAAAGCAUAGCCUCUGAGGAGCUAUUGUGAUCACAUGGAUUGGGACAGCUGUAAUCUAGAAGCCCAUGGGCAGUAAGUAUAGGUUAGAAAUAAGGGUAGGUAACUAAGGUAUGCCUCUAUGGUUUCCCUGAGCUUAAGCAAGUAGCAGUGCUCAGUUUCCCCAUCAAUGACAGCAAAGAGAGGGCAAUUAAAACAGCAAGGAACAAUUCUGCAGUCAGGCCCCUUUUUUCAUAGGGCAUCCAAGGCUCUCACUUUUGUUGAACACAAAAGCUGUAUCACUGUAAGUUUACAAUACUUCAGUACUUAAGAAAACUGAAGGCCGGGCGCGGUGGCUCACGCCUGUAAUCCCAG
rnacentral:lncRNA from 1 species